rnacentral:rRNA from 1 species
UGGGGAAUUUUGGACAAUGGGCGAAAGCCUGAUCCAGCAAUGCCGCGUGUGUGAAGAAGGCCUUCGGGUUGUAAAGCACUUUUGUCCGGAAAGAAAUCCUUGGCUCUAAUACAGUCGGGGGAUGACGGUACCGGAAGAAUAAGCACCGGCUAACUACGUGCCAGCAGCCGCGGUAAUACGUAGGGUGCAAGCGUUAAUCGGAAUUACUGGGCGUAAAGCGUGCGCAGGCGGUUUGCUAAGACCGAUGUGAAAUCCCCGGGCUCAACCUGGGAACUGCAUUGGUGACUGGCAGGCUAGAGUAUGGCAGAGGGGGUAGAAUUCCACGUGUAGCAGUGAAAUGCGUAGAGAUGUGGAGGAAUACCGAUGGCGAAGGCAGCCCCCUGGGCCAAUACUGACGCUCAUGCACGAAAGCGUGGGGAGCAAACAGGAUUAGAUACCCUGGUAGUCCCACGCCCUAAAACGAUGUCAACUAGUUGUUGGGGAUUCAUUUCCUUAGUAACGUAGCUAACGCGUGAAGUUGACCGCCUGGGGAGUACGGUCGCAAGAUUAAAACUCAAAUGAAUUGACGGGGUCAUAGCUG